GCUUAAAGGGGCCGUAGCUGGCCGGACAAAUCUCCGGGUAAAUCGGGCGGCCCAACCGUCCGAAUUCCGGAGACACUGUUCGGCUUGGGAUCGGGAGAGGGUGAAGGUACUCUCGGGGUAGGGGUAAAAUCCUGUAAUCCGGAGGGGACCACCAGUGGCGAAGGCGUUCACCUAGAACGAAUCCGACAGUGAGGGACGAAGCCCUAGGGCGCAAACGGGAUUAGAUACCCCGGUAGUCUAGGGUGUAAACUCUGCAGACUUGGUGUUGGGGGUCCUGCGUGGGCUCCCAGUGCCGGAGUGAAGAUGUUAAGUCUGCCGCUUGGGGAGUACGGUCGCAAGACUGAAACUUAAAGGAAUUGGCGGGAGAGCACCGCAACGGGAGGAGCGUGCGGUUCAAUUGGAUUCAACGCCGGAAAACUCACCGGGGGCGACGGAGGGAUGAAAGCCAGGCCGAAGACCUUGCCCGAUCCUCCGAGAGGUGGUGCAUGGCCAUCGUCAGUUCGUACCGUAAGGCGUUCUGUUAAGUCAGAUAACGAACGAGACCCUCGCCUUCAGUCGCUAUCUCACGAGUGGUCGUGAGAGCACACUGAGGGGAUCGCUGCCGCUAAGGCAGAAGAAGGAGAGGUCUACGGUAGGUCCGCAUGCCCCUAA
rnacentral:rRNA from 1 species